AUAUUUGUCUUUAUGUUAUAUGUUCAGGGUAAUUUUAUUGGAAAUAAGCAAUUUACUUUUGAAGACUCCUUUACUCAAGCUUUGCCAAAUUUACAAUCACAUCUCUCAGUGCCAUUACACUACAACCAAUCCUUAUUUCAUGUUAACCAACAUGAGAGUGAGUUCACUCAUAAAGAUUCAAGUACAACAACCAGCAUGAUGGAAUUAUUACAACAGACACAUUCAUUCUCUACAAGAAACCAUAUCUAAACUUCAUCAACUUGAAAAUGAAAGACAAUAGGUAAUAUUUAUUUACAUAUAUGUAAUGGUAAUAUAUAUUUUAUAUGUUCUUAUUUAUUCUUUUUAACUUUGAAUAUUUAUGCAGCUUUUAAAGGUGCAAGUGGCAGCAUAUUGUAUUUCAAGAUUUGAUUAUAAAUUAAACACCCCUUAAAGUUGUGAAAGACUAGUUUGUUAAUGUAUUUUCUUCGGGUCUCGUUUUGUUUUUAGAGAUAUUAUUAGUUAUUUGUUAUUUUUUUUUUUGAAUAAAGAGAUAUUAUUAGUUAUUUAAAAUUAUUGGAUGAUGAUUAUUUAGUUUGUAUUGUUUGUAUUUAUUUAUUUUUCACAAACAAUGUCUUUACUCAUGAUAUUGCAAAAUUAU